rnacentral:rRNA from 1 species
GAUGAACGCUGGCGGCGUGCCUAAUACAUGCAAGUCGAGCGAACGGACGAGAAGCUUGCUUCUCUGAUGUUAGCGGCGGACGGGUGAGUAACACGUGGAUAACCUACCUAUAAGACUGGGAUAACUUCGGGAAACCGGAGCUAAUACCGGAUAAUAUUUUGAACCGCAUGGUUCAAAAGUGAAAGACGGUCUUGCUGUCACUUAUAGAUGGAUCCGCGCUGCAUUAGCUAGUUGGUAAGGUAACGGCUUACCAAGGCAACGAUGCAUAGCCGACCUGAGAGGGUGGUCGGCCACACUGGAACUGAGACACGGUCCAGACUCCUACGGGAGGCAGCAGUAGGGAAUCUUCCGCAAUGGGCGAAAGCCUGACGGAGCAACGCCGCGUGAGUGAUGAAGGUCUUCGGAUCGUAAAACUCUGUUAUUAGGGAAGAACAUAUGUGUAAGUAACUGUGCACAUCUUGACGGUACCUAAUCAGAAAGCCACGGCUAACUACGUG